rnacentral:rRNA from 1 species
GAUGAACGCUAGCGAUAGGCUUAACACAUGCAAGUCGAGGGGCAUCGGGGGCUUCGGCCCGCCGGCGACCGGCGCACGGGUGAGUAACGCGUAUGCAACCUACCUUUAACCCGGGGAUAGCCCGUUGAAAGACGGAUUAAUACCCGAUAAUACAAUUUUGCCACCUGGUAAAAUUGUUAAAGAUUUAUUAGUUAAAGAUGGGCAUGCGUUGGAUUAGCUAGUUGGUAGAGGUAACGGCUCACCAAGGCAACGAUCCAUAGGGGAACUGAGAGGUUUAUCCCCCACACUGGUACUGAGACACGGACCAGACUCCUACGGGAGGCAGCAGUGAGGAAUAUUGGUCAAUGGGCGUAAGCCUGAACCAGCCAAAUCGCGUGAAGGAUGACAGUAUUAUGUAUUGUAAACUUCUUUUAUGGAGAAUAAAAAAGCGGAUGCGUCCGUUGUUGCAUGUAUCCCAUGAAUAAGCAUCGGCUAACUCCGUGCCAGCAGCCGCAGUAAC